UCUCAUCCUUCUUGCAUCCAAAGCAGGAGCCACCCAAAGCACAGUCCUGUAUGAACCCACAACUCCUGAUACAGAUCGCACCACUAAGACUGGAACUUUGUUAUCUCUAACGCAGCAAACUUGAAUCCACAGACAUGGAGAGAGCAUCCCUGUUUGCGCUGCUGAGUUUGAGUUAUGUCAUGGGGCUCUCUUCUGUAUCAGCUGUUAUUACAAUGAGGGUAAAACUUAAUGACUCUGCUAUUCUGCCCUGCUCUGAGAGAUGUUCUGGUUUGGUCAGAUGGACUGUGCUCACUAAACCCACUGAUCCUCUGGCUGAGUGUGAUCAGACUUCAUGUAGAUCAGUGAAGGAGGGAUAUCAGAUGAUCCAUGAUCAGUACCUGAAGGGGGAUCUCUCUCUCAUCAUCAAUGAGGCUGAUUUUGGUGAGAGGAACUCGUACAUCUG